UCUCCCGUGAGGGAGCAGUCUCGUGUGACACUUGUAACACACAACGAGGGUUGCGUUCGUUUCCCCACUUAAGGGAACAGCUCAAGCCACGAACUGACGACGGCCAUGCAUCACCUGCCAUACACCCUCGAAGGCUACCUAGGUUUCCCUAAGUAUGCAGUAUGGUUUCUAGCCUUGGUAAGGUUUUUCGCUUAACGACGAAUUAAGCCCCAUGAUCCACCGCUUGUGCGAGCCCCCGUCUAUUCCUUUGAGUUUUAAUCUUGCGAUCGUACUACCCAGGCGGUCCGCUUAAUGCGUUAGCUACGCCACAGAGAGGGUCGAUACUCCCCAUAGCUAGCGGACAGCGUUUAGGGCGUGGACUAC
rnacentral:misc_RNA from 1 species